UUUCCGUAGGUGAACCUGCGGAAGGAUCAUUAUUGAACCUUCAUCCGUGGCGCCGCGGCCCUCAGCACCGGUUGAAACGCCGUCCUGCGGGGGCCGCGCGUGCACUCGUCCAAACCAAACCCCUGUGAACCUUACGGGAUGGCCGGGGUUAGCGCCCGGUGUCGUUCCGCGUUAUACAAACACUUAUCAAAGAAUGAACUGAAGGGGGUCUGACCGCUGGAUAACAAACUGAAACAACUUUCAACAACGGAUCUCUUGGCUCUC
rnacentral:misc_RNA from 1 species